rnacentral:misc_RNA from 1 species
AAUGUCGUAACAAGGUUUCCGUAGGUCAACCGGCAGGAAGGCCAAUUUCACCAAAUAAAGGGCGUGUAGGAAGUGGGGUUUGUCUGUAAGUGGUAGAGCGAACAGUCCGGCUGCCUCCCGAAACUGUCUUACAUGUCCCCCACAGCCUGAAGGCCGAAUUACAACCCUUGAUUAUCUACACUUGUUGCUUUGGGGUGCUCAAGUGCCCCAGAGGACCCAACUCUCUUGCAUUUAGUGACGUCUGAGUACUAUAUAAUAUUUAAAAAG